rnacentral:pre_miRNA from 1 species
AAAACAUUCAGACCAUCGGUCUAUCGAGCAAUAUCACCCGCUCGUGGAAGAACUUUCCUAUGUAUU